AACAGGGAUUGCCUUAGUAGCGGCGAGUGAAGCGGCAAUAGCUCAAAUUUGAAAUCUGGCACCUUCGGUGUCCGAGUUGUAAUUUGAAGAAGGUAUCUUUGGUUUUGGCCUUUGUCUAUGUUUCUUGGAACAGGACGUCACAGAGGGUGAGAAUCCCGUGCGACAAGGUGCCCAAUUCCAUGUAAAGUUCCUUCGACGAGUCGAGUUGUUUGGGAAUGCAGCUCUAAGUGGGUGGUAAAUUCCAUCUAAAGCUAAAUAUUGGCGAGAGACCGAUAGCGAACAAGUACUGUGAAGGAAAGAUGAAAAGAACUUUGAAAAGAGAGUGAAAAAGUACGUGAAAUUGUUGAAAGGGAAGGGCUUGAGGUCAGACUUGGUUUUACCAGGCCAGCAUCAGUUUGGAUGGCAGGAUAAUAGCUAAGAAAAGUGGCACAGCUUCGGUUGUGUGUNAUAGUCUUGGUUGAUACUGCCNGNCCAGACUGAGG
rnacentral:rRNA from 1 species